CCCUUAGAUGUUCUGGGCUGCACGCGCGCUACACUGAUGCGCUCAACGAGUUUUAACCUUGCCUGGAAAGGUUGGGUAAUCUUUUUAAAACGCAUCGUGAUGGGGAUAGAUUAUUGCAAUUAUUAAUCUUCAACGAGGAAUUCCUAGUAAGCGCGAGUCAUCAGCUCGUGCUGAUUACGUCCCUGCCCUUUGUACACACCGCCCGUCGCUCCUACCGAUUGAAUGAUCCGAUGAAUAUCAUGGAUUGAGGAUGUAAGCAGGUUCGCCUGUCUUCAUCUUCGAGAAGUGAAGUAAAUCUUAUCAUUUAGAGGAAGGAGAAGUCGUAACA
rnacentral:rRNA from 1 species